rnacentral:rRNA from 1 species
UACGGAGGGUGCAAGCGUUAUCCGGAUUCACUGGGUUUAAAGGGUGCGUAGGUGGGUCCGUAAGUCAGUGGUGAAAUCUCCGAGCUUAACUCGGAAACUGCCAUUGAUACUAUAGAUCUUGAAUUAUCUGGAGGUUAGCGGAAUAUGUCAUGUAGCGGUGAAAUGCUUAGAUAUGACAUAGAACACCGAUUGCGAAGGCAGCUGACUACAGGUAUAUUGACACUGAGGCACGAAAGCGUGGGGAUCGAAACAAGG